rnacentral:sRNA from 3 species
AGGAUGAGAAGCUUCUACCAGGGUUCGAUUCGAGCGCAGCGAGAAAGCGUUGCCGCAGGCAACGACCCGAAGGGCGAAGCGCGCAGCGCUGAGUCAUCCUUCCCCCACCACCA